GACAGAGGGUGCAAACGUUAUUCGGAAUUACUGGGCGUAAAGGCUCGUAGGUGGCCAACUAAGUCAGACGUGAAAUCCCCAGGCUCAACUUGGGAACUGCGUCUGAUACUGGCAGGCUUGAAUCCGGGAGAGGGAUGCGGAAUUCCAGGUGUAGCGGUGAAAUGCGUAGAUAUCUGGAGGAACACCGGUGGCGAAGGCGGCAUCCUGGACCGGCAUUGACGCUGAGGCGCGAAAGCCAGGGAGCAAACGG
rnacentral:rRNA from 1 species